rnacentral:rRNA from 1 species
AGCGAACGCUGGCGGCAGGCCUAACACAUGCAAGUCGAGCGCGUGUAGCAAUACACGAGCGGCAGACGGGAGAGUAACACGUGGGAACGUACCCUUCAGUUCGGAACAACCCAGGGAAACUUGGGCUAAUACCGAAUACGUCCGUAAGGAGAAAGAUUUAUCGCUGAAGGAUCGGCCCGCGUCUGAUUAGCUAGUUGGUGAGGUAACGGCUCACCAAGGCGACGAUCAGUAGCNGGUCUGAGAGGAUGAUCAGCCUCACUGGGACUGAGACACGGCCCAGACUCCUACGGGAGGCAGCAGUGGGGAAUAUUGGACAAUGGGCGCAAGCCUGAUCCAGCCAUGCCGCGUGGAUGAUGAAGGCCCUAGGGUUGUAAAGUCCUUUCGACGGGGAAGAUAAUGACGGUACCCGUAGAAGAAGCCCCGGCUAACUUCGUGCCAGCAGCCGCGGUAAU